GCCAGGGAAUAGGGUGGUAGCUAGAGAGAGUCCCACUAUCCUUCUCUAUCCCUGUGUCAUGCUCCACUUUUCAACAGUUCAAGGAAAGUAACUCAGCCAUGAUACCUCCAAGUCGUCUAGGACAUUCUCUAUAUAUCUGUCUGCAGGAGCACCCACAGGCGUUAAGGAAGUCACAUGUUGGCCAUGUACCAAGACCAACCAAGCAUUUUCAACACGCCUGCUCCCACUGGCACCAGGCACCACAUAGGCCUGUGGAGGCACAGGCUGCCAUCAGAUCCUGGUCCUCUGUCUUCACACAACUGAACACACUUCCUGGGAGUCUUGCACAGAAGGCUGGCAAGAUCCAGAACCUCACCUGUUAAUACCAUUCACAAGGCUUGAGGUCCAUCAGCCCCAGCUCCUCCAGCACCUUCAGCCUGUCUCCUACAGCUUCAGCUGUGCCUCGACUAUGAUGGAACCGCAAAGUGCCAACAGCUUCAUCCCCUGCAAAAUGGGGCCACUGUAACGACCAAGGACUUGCAUGCCCAAGGUUGGCCUCACAGGCUCUCUGGACUGGCAGACUACUCUCUUCCCUAGCUAGAUUUGUGUAGUUCUUAAGGCUGCCUCCACUUCCUGAUUUGCAUAUUAGCUCCUGUCCUGCUCCAGUCCAGACAGCUAUCCAACCACAAGAGGCACAGCAUCUGUACAUACUCACCUUUACCUGAUAAAUAUGGUACCAUCUAGAAACUCUUGCCAUAAUACCCCCACUCAUCAGAUGCUCUUGGACCCAGUUCAGAACCCCUCUGGGCACUGAUGUGAAAUGUUGAUCACCUCCAUUCAAGAACUAAGGAGUGUUUUCAGCCUGACUGAUGAAAGAUCAAGAGAAGAAGAAUAUCACAUACAUGAGUUUUCCAAAAUUAAAAUGGAGAAUAGGGCCUUCGGGAAGGCAUCUGGAUAAUUAAAACAUUAAUUCAGGCUCUGGUUUGCCUGAGAGCAACAGGCUUCUGAGAGCUCCAUUAAAUCUCUCCCAAUAAAUACUGAUGGCUCUGAGGCAGUCUCCCGGCCAGGGCGCAGAGUCAUGAAAGACGCCCUCCCUCCCAGUCUCUACCUGUCAUCCUCAGGGAAAUAUCCAGAGAUGAUAAAGUCAGGGAGUUGAGGAUCUUCACUCAAAAUGUCUCUCUUACAAGUUAAGCCUGGAAGGUCUGGAAAGAACUAUACACCAGGAAACCAAGGUACAAAAAGUUUGCAAGUAUUCUUGAGACCUUCUGGCUUCAUGAACAAUCAUGCUUUACAGAUAAUUAGACCAGUCCUAAGAGAAAUCAGGUAAGAACUGAAAUAAGUCUAUGAGACAAGCCUAUAGGAUGCUUCAGUUCUGUGACCCUGGUGAGUGUGCAAGAAGGUGGUGGCCAUUCUUCAAAGAGAAGGGAUCUGAAUAAAGGAUUUGGGAGAAUAAAGAUUUCCUUACUCCUAA